rnacentral:rRNA from 1 species
UGAGGAAUAUUGGUCAAUGGACGCAAGUCUGAACCAGCCAUGCCGCGUGCAGGAAGACGGCUCUAUGAGUUGUAAACUGCUUUUGUACGAGGGUAAACUCGGAUACGUGUAUCCGUUUGAAAGUAUCGUACGAAUAAGGAUCGGCUAACUCCGUGCCAGCAGCCGCGGUAAUACGGAGGAUUCAAGCGUUAUCCGGAUUUAUUGGGUUUAAAGGGUGCGUAGGCGGUCGGAUAAGUUAGAGGUGAAAUCCCGGGGCUCAACUUCGGAAUUGCCUCUGAUACUGUUCGGCUAGAGAGUAGUUGC